rfam:Devosia riboflavina strain IFO13584 contig20, whole genome shotgun sequence.
AGACGUUCUCAGGGCGGGGUGCAAUUCCCCACCGGCGGUGUUUGCGUUUCGGCGCAUCAGCCCGCGAGCGCUUGCCUCAAACGAGGCAAGGUCAGCAGACUCGGUUAAACUCCGGGGCCGACGGUAUAGUCCGGAUGGAAGAGAACAGAU